rnacentral:sRNA from 1 species
CCGGGCGGGAAGUCGGGUCCCGAGGCUCCGGCUCGGCAGACCGGGCGGAAAGCAGCCGAGCGGCCAUGGAGCUGUGCGGGCUGGGGCUGCCCCGGCCGCCCAUGCUGCUGGCGCUGCUGUUGGCGACACUGCUGGCGGCGAUGUUGGCGCUGCUGACUCAGGUGGCUCUGGUGGUGCAGGUGGCGGAGGCGGCUCGGGCCCCGGGCGUCUGGGCCAAGCCGAGGCCGGCGCUGUGGCCCCAGCCGCUCUCGGUGAAGAUGACCCCGAACCUGCUGCAUCUCUCCCCGGAGAACUUCUACAUCAGCCACAGCCCCAAUUCCACGGCGGGCCCCUCCUGCACCCUGCUGGAGGAAGCGUUUCGGAGAUAUCAUGGCUAUAUUUUUGGUUUCUACAAGUGGCAUCAUGAACCUGCUGAAUUCCAGGCUAGAACCCAGCUUCAGCAACUUCUUGUCUCAAUCACCCUUCAGUCAGAGUGUGAUGCUUUCCCCAACAUAUCUUCAGAUGAGUCUUAUACUUUACUUGUGAAAGAACCAGUGGCUGUCCUUAAGGCCAACAGAGUUUGGGGAGCAUUACGAGGUUUAGAGACCUUUAGCCAGUUAGUUUAUCAAGAUUCUUAUGGAACUUUCACCAUCAAUGAAUCCACCAUUAUUGAUUCUCCAAGGUUUCCUCACAGAGGAAUUUUGAUUGAUACAUCCAGACAUUAUCUGCCAGUUAAGAUUAUUCUUAAAACUCUGGAUGCCAUGGCUUUUAAUAAGUUUAAUGUUCUUCACUGGCACAUAGUUGAUGACCAGUCUUUCCCGUAUCAGAGCAUCGCUUUUCCUGAGUUAAGCAAUAAAGUGAGUAAAUUGUAUUGUACUCUGUCUACAAAAACGUUGGGUAUAGUUUCAUUACAAGUUUGUAGCUUAAAUGUUUGUUCUUAUGGAUAGAAUCAAAGUGUAAAGAUCAGAUGUUUAUGGUUUUUAAUUUUUUUUGGCUGUGACUUAGCAUUUUACAUCCAUAAAACUGUUUUUUGUUAUUGUUAUAACGGUUACUGUAAUUGUUAUUGUGAAUAUAAACAAUCUCUGGGGAAGCAUAAAUCGAAAUUUAACAAGGUAGAAGCCCUGAAUAAUUCUCAAAUUACAUAUGGUUAAGAUAAUAUAUUUAUCAAGUUGUCCAACAGUGUAUUUGUUUUAAACAUAAUUGUUUGGAAAUCCAUAAAUGACUAUUUUUCUCUCUGAGAAACUAUAUGAAGUAGGGAAUUUUAGAGGUGAGAGUGUUUUCUUAGGAAAUAAUGGUAGUCUCAGUUAACAGUGUUCAAAUUGACUGUAUCAUGGACCAGUGGAGCUGGGAGGGACCCUCAGUGUCCCCUAGUUUAAUACCCCUGUAAUAAUACAAAGAAGGUACCUGACAUCCAGAGAAAUGAUGCACCUUGUGUAAAGUUGUGGUUAGGAAGGGACAGAGCCAGGACUCUAAAUUCUGUCCUCUGGCCGUAAUUCCAAAACUUUCUCCAAUGUUAGGUAUGUAGGCUAAAAUGUGCUAAUAGCACUUGUGUUUUUGUUUCCUUUUGUUUUACUUUUUAUUAUGGCAAAUUUCAAAUAUAUACAGAUACAGAAUAGUUUAAUGAACUCCCAUGUUCUCAUCAUGCAGGUUCAAACAUGAAUACAUGGUCAACCUUGUAUCACUUAAACUCCUGCAGACAAGCCCUGCCCCA